GCCAAACCCGUGCAGUCCCCUUGCUGCUUGCAGCCGGUCUGUACUCUCCACACCUUGUUCGUCAGACAGUCAACUCAAUUUCCCCUUCCUGCCCGUGCGCGAAUCCGAAGAUGGAACGGAGGGAAAUGCCCAGGGUGAAGCUCGGCACGCAGGGCCUCGAGGUGUCCAAGCUUGGGUUCGGGUGCAUGGGCCUCACCGGAGUCUACAACGCCCCGAUCCCUGAGGAAGCCGGAAUCGCUAUCAUCAGGCACGCGUUUGAGGCCGGUAUCACCUUCUUCGACACUGCAGAUGCCUACGGGCCACACACCAACGAGGUCCUGCUUGGAAAGGCACUUAAGCAUUUUCCCCGUGAGAAGGUACAAGUUGCCACCAAAUGUGGCAUUGCUGGAUUCGAUGUCAGUGGAAUGCGUGUGAAGGGCACUCCAGAUUAUGUUCGAGCAUGUUGUGAAGCAAGUCUUCAGCGCCUUGCUGUUGAUUACAUUGAUCUCUACUAUCAGCAUCGCAUUGAUCAGUCAGUGCCUAUAGAGGAAACUAUGGGGGAACUCAAAAGGUUGGUCGAAGAAGGGAAAGUGAAGUAUGUUGGGUUGUCAGAGGCUAGCGCCGAUACCAUUCGUCGAGCACAUGCAGUUCAUCCAAUUACUGCAGUGCAGUUGGAGUGGUCGCUAUGGACCAGAGAUAUAGAGGAAGAUAUAAUACCAGUCUGCAGGGAGCUUGGUAUCGGAAUAGUUCCAUACAGCCCACUUGCCCGUGGCUUCUUUGCUGGCAGGGCAGCUGUAGAGAGUGUACCAUCAGAAAGUUUAUUGUCUAAACAUCCUAGGUAUACUGGGGAGAACUUGGAGAAGAAUAAAGUUCUGUAUACACGACUUGAAAUGUUGUCCAAGAAGUAUGGGUGCACCCCUGCUCAACUUGCUCUCUCCUGGGUUCUUCAUCAAGGAGAAGAUGUGGUCGCAAUCCCUGGCAAACUUGCAAUGCACUAUUGCAUUAUUCGACGCAACAGGAGCAGACAAUCUGCAAUGGCCAAGUAGGGCUGGCUGGCUACUGCUGCACUGGUGUCGCCCAUGGCCGUGGGUGUCCCUUUCAGGGGGGGAACCUUGGGAGGAGCUGACCAGAUUUCGGAUGGAUGGAUCUCGAGGCACAGCGACGCCCAUCACGCGCUUUGAGCAUCCAUCCAUCAACCCAUCGGGGGUCGCGCGGCGGCCGCCGGUGAUGAUGCAAGAACAUGUGUGGAGCUGGUGGCCGGUCUUUGGCCUCUUGGUGGACCACCUCCCCAAAUUCUGGUGCCGGGAUCUUUGCCUGCCCCCGACUGGUUGCCAGGCCACAACACAACACCUUGAUUGCGGCUCAUGAGGCUGCGCAGCUAGCUUGCAGCCAGUGACGAAGUGGCCAGUCUAUGAUUGUUGGAUGAUUGAUGGCUGCUGGUAGAUGGUUUCACCAUGUCUGAUCUGAUCCGUCUGAAAACCUGGAGUGGUGGAUCUGCAACAAGCCCAACUAUUUUUUGAGCUCUAGCGAUGAUCGAUGAUGCACUUAAUAAACAAUCAAGUUCUGCUGACACUACAUAGCCUGUCAAUGGAAGACUGGAAAUCAAGCAUUUAGUAGAAUAGAUAACUGUUUCCUUGUAUCUGCAUAAUCUAGCUGAUCGAUGGCAGUCCAAAAGAAGGGAUUGCUAGCUUUUUGUUAAUGCCUGGAGUUUGAUUGCAAAGGGCAAAGAGGCCGGCCGGGAAUAAAGAAGGCAAACAAAGCUGAGGAGAGGAGAUAAAGCAGAUAAAGGAGGGGGGCAAUUGGGAUACUGGGCGUACUAAGUCAUUCCCUGCUGCUGCUGCAUCGAUCUCACAUGCAAAACCCAUGGCUUUUCCUCAAAAGCCUGGGGGUUCAGCAUGCCUGCUCGAUCUUGGGAUGGAUGGAUACAAACCCAAUCCCUAGGUUUAUUCCGUGCUAACUUUAUACCCUUUAUUAUCCACGUCAAUUCUCGAGAAUAUUCUGGCGUAUUAGGCUUUCCGUCUUUUGCGUGCCUACCUAUCUUUCGCAAAGCCAGUUAGGUCC